rnacentral:rRNA from 1 species
AUUGAACGCUGGCGGCAUGCCUUACACAUGCAAGUCGAACGGCAGCACGGGUGCUUGCACCUGGUGGCGAGUGGCGAACGGGUGAGUAAUACAUCGGAACAUGUCCUGUAGUGGGGGAUAGCCCGGCGAAAGCCGGAUUAAUACCGCAUACGAUCUACGGAUGAAAGCGGGGGACCUUCGGGCCUCGCGCUAUAGGGUUGGCCGAUGGCUGAUUAGCUAGUUGGUGGGGUAAAGGCCUACCAAGGCGACGAUCAGUAGCUGGUCUGAGAGGACGACCAGCCACACUGGGACUGAGACACGGCCCAGACUCCUACGGGAGGCAGCAGUGGGGAAUUUUGGACAAUGGGCGAAAGCCUGAUCCAGCAAUGCCGCGUGUGUGAGGAAGGCCUUCGGGUUGUAAAGCACUUUUGUCCGGAAAGAAAUCCUUGGCCCUAAUACGGUCGGGGGAUGACGGUACCGGAAGAAUAAGCACCGGCUAACUACGUG